rnacentral:rRNA from 1 species
UACGUAGGGUGCAAGCGUUGUCCGGAAUUAUUGGGCGUAAAGAGCUCGUAGGCGGUUUGUCGCGUCCGCUGUGAAAAUCCAGGGCUUAACCCUGGACCUGCAGUGGGUACGGGCAGACUAGAGUGCGGUAGGGGAGAUCGGAAUUCCUGGUGUAGCGGUGAAAUGCGCAGAUAUCAGGAGGAACACCGGUGGCGAAGGCGGCCACCUGGACGGUAACUGACGCUGAGACGCGAAAGCGUGGGGAGCAAACAGG